rnacentral:rRNA from 1 species
GUCGUGAGAUGUUGGGUUAAGUCCCGCAACGAGCGCCAACCCUAUUGUUAGUUCGCCAUCAUUCAGUUGGGCACUCUAGCGAGACUGCCGGUAAUAAACCGGAGGAAGGUGGGGAUGACGUCAAAUCAUCAUGCCCCUUAUGACCUGGGCUACACACGUGCUACAAUGGUUGGUACAACGAGUUGCGAGUCGGUGACGGCGAGCUAAUCUCUUAAAGCCAAUCUCAGUUCGGAUUGUAGGCUGCAACUCGCCUACAUGAAGUCGGAAUCGCUAGUAAUCGCGGAUCAGCACGCCGCGGUGAAUACGUUCCCGGGCCUU